rnacentral:rRNA from 1 species
AUUGAACGCUGGCGGCAUGCUUUACACAUGCAAGUCGGACGGCAGCACAGAGACGCUUGCUUCUUGGGUGGCGAGUGGCGCACGUGUGAGUAAUAUAUCGGAACGUCCCGAGUAAUGGGGGAUAACUAAUCGAAAGAUUAGCUAAUACCGCAUAUUCUCUGAGGAGGAAAGCAGGGGACCUUCGGGCCUUGCGUUAUUCGAGCGGCCGAUAUCUGAUUAGCUAGUUGGUGGGGUAAAGGCCUACCAAGGCGACGAUCAGUAGCGGGUCUGAGAGGAUGAUCCGCCACACUGGAACUGAGACACGGCCCAGACUCCUACGGGAGGCAGCAGUGGGGAAUUUUGGACAAUGGGCGCAAGCCUGAUCCAGCCAUGCCGCGUGUCUGAAGAAGGCCUUCGGGUUGUAAAGGACUUUUGUCAGGGAAGAAAAGGCUGUUGCUAAUAUCAAUAGCUGAUGACGGUACCUGAAGAAUAAGCACCGGCUAACUACGUG